UGGGAACCUCAGGGACGCUUGGGAGAUUCCCGUCUGGGAGCCGGGGUCUUUUCUUGAUUCUCUGAGCACGUGGCGCCACCUCAACUAUGAUCGGCAGAUGCACCCGGAGGACAGACUGCCACUCUGAGGACACCCAGGACCCAGGAGGUUUCUGCUUCUGGCAGACAUCUGAGUAUCAGUUGCGGACUACAGGCUGUUCUAAGUAGACUGCGAGCCCUGGACUUGCUGUGGAUGUGAACCAAGUCAGCUGAUGUGGACACUCCCUGACUCUGCAACAGUGUCUGCUAACCAGAAGCCCCUGAUGGAUUCCCCAUUGCCUAAAUUCCUUUUUGCUUUUGACUAGCAUUUCAACCUUCUGGGGUCCCUAACUUCGUCCCAAAGUCAGCAGGAAGCAGUUUGAAAAAGAAUUUCAGCGUCCAUUUUCCCUGGUUAAAAUGCUAAGUCAAAAGGAACUCCUUACAUGGGGAUGCCAAUAUCUAUCACUUCCUGAUGGGGAUACUAGAGAGACAGCAAUUCCAUGAUUGGAAUUUCCAGAAAAGAAAAUGGGGGAAUGAAGGAACCGGCUUCCCUUUUGGCAGCCAUAACAGCCGAACACGUGCUUGCCAUAAACCUACCUUGGUCACGUAGAGGUCAGAUGCCUGUCUCGUGACAAGGAACCCAUCAGAAGUUAGUCACUAGAAAGUCAGAUGCCUGUCUCGUGACAAGGAGCCAAUCGGAAGUUAGCUGGUGGCGCUAUGCUUUACGACCCUGGGUGUGCUUUACGGACAAGCGCACGACAAUGACGUAGAGAGCAUAGCAACCACCCUGGGAGGGCCUAUGAGCCAUAACAACCAGUUGACCAAUCAACACAGGGCAAGCCCUCCAAGCCUGGAAGCACACUAAUCGUGAGCCUGUGCAUACCCCUAG
rnacentral:lncRNA from 1 species